CAAAAAAAACGAAAACAACUUAGAUGAAAAGAAAAAAAUUUGACAAGAGGUGAACCGUCUCCAACAAACCCCCUCCCCUAAAUUUGGUUUCUUUUCUCCCUGUUUUUUUUUUUU
rnacentral:ribozyme from 16 species